GUUGAACGCUGGCGGCAUGGCUAAAACAUGCAAGUCGAACGAUCCCUUCGGGGAGAGUGGCGAAAGGGCGAGGAAUAGAAUCGAAUGUACCCCAAGGUGGGGGAUAGCCUCUGGAAACGGAGGGUAAUACCCCAUGUGCUCUACGGAGGAAAGGUUUACCGCCUUGGGAGCAGCGAUUCUCCUAUCAGGUAGUUGGUGAGGUAACGGCUCACCAAGCCGAAGACGGGUAGCGGGUGUGAGAGCAUGACCCGCCGCAUCGGGACUGAGACACUGCCCGGACUCCUACGGGAGGCUGCAGUAACGAAUCUUCCGCAAUGGGCGAAAGCCUGACGGAGCAAUGCCGCGUGUGGGAUGAAGCAUCUUCGAUGUGUAAACCACUGUCAGGGUCUAGGAAUACUGACCAGACCCAAAGGAAGGGCCGGCUAACCUCGUG
rnacentral:rRNA from 1 species